UUCUCAUCUUCUUCUUUCUCUUUCUUUGUCUUCUUUCUUCCUCUCUUUCUCGGUUUUUUUCUCUUGUUGAUUAUCCGUGAGACUCAGUGAAGAAAAUCAACUUAUGAUGUUUGUGUAGAUAAUGAAGGUGAUGAUGUGGUGGUGUUAAUUCAAGCAGUUGAUUCAGAGAUACAAGAGACGGUAAAUCAGAUAGAACCAAAUUAGGGUUUUGAGAUUGAGUUCAUGUUGAAAUUGAUAAGUGAUUCGGGUUGUUGUUAGGUAAACAUUAAGAGGGUUGUUGUCUAUUUGAAUUUAUGGAGUUUAUCUGAUAGGGAAUUGAAGGGUUAGAGUUGCUACAGAGGAUGGAGAAAUAAAAGAGGAUUUACUGAAGAACAUGAAGAUUACAAUUUUGAGAUUUGGAUUUGAGGGUGUUAAAUGGAGUUGAGUUUGAUGAGUGAAGCUGUUGAUGGAAUUGGGAUAAUUUUGGUGUUGAUUCAAGUAAUGAUGCAAACUCAGGGAAAGACAGAGAUUAGGGUUUGUGGACUUGAUAAUUCUGGAAUUGAUUUGUGAAAGAAAAAAGAAGAAAUUUCAGUUAGGGUUCUUAAUAAAAUGAGGACUUAGGGUUCAUGGGUUUGAGUUGCAAGUCAGGGAAUUUCGAUUCAGUGGAUGCUGUUACUGGGGUAAGCUUCCACUUGCUUUAAUUUAAAUAUAAGAAGGUUGAAUCAUUGAAUUUUUGAGUUUGUGUAAUUGUUAUUGAUAGUGUGCUUUGAAAUGAAUAUGGAGUAGAAUUGUGGAUGAAGCAGAUUUGUGUUGAAUUACUGUGAACUAGAAUGAAUAGACAAAGUGCAAGGAUGUGGAGGUUAGAGAUGUUGUUGGUGCUGAGUUACUUGAGAUGAAUGUAUGUUCUUAUGAAUUGGGAGAAUGAGAAGAAGAUGAGAUGGGUAUUGCUUUGUUAAAGGUAGUGAAUAUAAAUGGCAGGUGAUGGGGUUAAGUGUCCGUUACAGAGAGAUGGAAUGAGUAUUGCAGGGUUGUUAUUGGAGUCGAGUAAUUGCGGGUAAUGAGUUAGGUGUGGUUAAUCUGAGAUGAUGAUAAUGAAGUGGUAGAAAUUGGAGAUGAGAUUGGUAUUGCAGUUCUGGGUGUGCAUAAAAUGUAUAAUGGGAUCUGGCAGAUGUAGUGAUUGUUUAAAUGUGCGGAAGUGGCACUGUUGUUAGUGUUUAGAUUGUUGAGGUUGCAGGGGGUAUAAGUAUGAGCCGAGUUUGUAUUGUGCAGAGUUGGUUUGUAGUUGGAGUGAACCUACAAUUUUAGUGGAGUUAAAUCUCUCUUGUAGAAAGUUGUUGACUAAAGCUGCAAUUGCAGUUACUCGAUAUUAACAACGAUUAAUUCAAAGGAUGAACCGGUGGAUCGUGGAUCUCGAGGUAGGCGUGGCUUGUCAUCAAAAGAGGUGGGAAUACUUUUAACUCUUUUGAAACCAUUGUUGUUUCUUUUGCAAAAGUUUAUGUUUUACAAACUAAUGCUUUAUCUGUUUGUGCAAUCCAUGCAUUGUUCAGCUUGUAUUAUGAGUGUUCUGUUGGUUCUUUGUAAUCUUUCCAUGGUUUGGAAAGGACUUGUAAUGUUUUGUUUUCGUCAUGAAUUGUUAUGGGAAAUAAGAAUUUCCACCUGUGG